AUGGAAUGAGAUUUCGGUCAAAUGAAGUUGAGGACAGUGGCGGACGGGUGAGUAACGCGUGAGGAACCUGCCUUUCAGAGGGGGACAACAGUUGGAAACGACUGCUAAUACCGCAUAACACAUUGAGGUCGUAUGGCCUUGAUGUCAAAGAUUUAUCGCUGAAAGAUGGCCUCGCGUCUGAUUAGCUAGUUGGUGAGGUAACGGCCCACCAAGGCGACGAUCAGUAGCCGGACUGAGAGGUUGAACGGCCACAUUGGGACUGAGAUACGGCCCAGACUCCUACGGGAGGCAGCAGUGGGGAAUAUUGGGCAAUGGGCGCAAGCCUGACCCAGCAACGCCGCGUGAAGGAAGAAGGCUUUCGGGUUGUAAACUACUUUUGCAAGGGAAGAGAAGAAGACGGUACCUUGUGAAUAAGCCACGGCUAACUACGUGCCAACAGCCGCGGUAAUACGUNNGUGGCAAGCGUUGUCCGGAUUUACUGGGUGUAAAGGGCGUGUANCCNGGUCGGUAANUCANAUGUGAAAUCUAUGANCUCAACUCAUAAACUGCAUUUGAAACUGCUGAUCCUUGANUAUCGGANAGGCAAUCGGAAUUCC
rnacentral:rRNA from 1 species